AGACGGCCUUGGCUGGAUUAGCUUUUCCGGGCAACGCUAUUGCAACAGUUGAACUGGGUUUUCAAAGCCUCGCCUCCCCCACUCCUGGAGCAUCUGUGGGUCUGACUCCCUGAGCCGGCGGGGCCUCCCACGGCAGCUCCCAUGGCCCACCGGGGGUACUUUUCAUCGUGCCCUGAUCCAGAGACGGGACCCUUAACCUGCCCCACAUUCCCGAGGGCGUGCGAAGGGUUUGGCCAACAGAUUGAGGUGGAAGAGAUGGUGUGCGAGUUCUCAGCCCCGGCCUUUCGUGUUUCCAUGGCAGAGUGAAGCCACCAAGAGCGCCGGGCUUACAUCUUUUAUUCCAGAGAGCGUCAGACUGAGCAGGACUUAGCUUGGACUCCACAUCCCAGGGGAAGGAGGCUGAGGGGCCCAGCUUGUGUCUGGAGCUCCCCUGGGACCAGCCAAAGGAAGACGUCUCGUGAUAAUGAUCCGUGGUGUUUCCUCAACCUCCGUGAAUAUGCUACAAGCCACUGAAUGGUGCACUUUGAGUGCAGGCGCUGUAUGGAAUGUGAGCGAUUUCUCAAUA